rnacentral:lncRNA from 1 species
AUUCUUUGUGGGUGUGCUUUAUAUGAGAUUAAUUAAGUGUGCGUUUCAGAGGCUUAGUUUGGUAUUGAGCUGGAUCUAAUACUAUUAAAUAAAAUGGAGUUGAGGAAACGCAUAUAAGAAUAUGCUUUUGCGUUCUCCGAUAAAAAUUCAGAAAAUAUAUCGUAACCCAUUAACCGUAAUAUGCAGAACGCAAUAUUAUGUACGAAAACAAAUAAAAUAUUUUUCUAUCGUUGUUUCUCCCCGCAACAGUGCGUGUUGAAAAGGCCGAGCGAGCCGGGCUUGUUGGUGCGCACGCUAAAUCUCAGGUCGGUAAGAGGCUGAGCCGAUUAAUCUGACUGUACGGACGCAGCUUGAUAAUUCGUCCAUACAUUGUGGUGUGGUUUAGAUAUAUUUUAGAUUUGGGUAUUUGAGAGAGAUAUUAAUUUUGUAUUUUAUCUUUGACAGUAAUAAAGUUUUACUUCAUCUUCGUCCGUGAAUAUUUGCUGGUGGUCAAACCACAUAAACAUUGUACUUUUCAUUUUUUUUCUCUAUUUUUUCGAUUCUUUUUUGGUAUUUUAUGCCUGAUAAAUUAAAUCUUUUUGGCUUUUACCACAAUAGGCCUUGAUGGAGGAAAUUUAUACUAAUUGGAUUCAAAUUUCUUACUCAAAAAUAUAUCUUUCAUUUGCUUAAUUAGUAACAAUCGCACGAUUUAAUUAGAACCCGCUGAAAGAGUGAAGUUACUUUUUGUCUAUUAUUAUAGAAAAUAGUUACGUCAUCUACAUUAUAGGACUAAUUAGUUUAGUUAUUUUAUUUCGUUUCGUAUAAUUACAACUUCUAUAAUUAUAUAUAUGCACAUAAGCAUAUAUAUAUAUAUAUAGAGAGAGAGAGAGAGAGAGAGAGAGAGAAGGUCUUGUGCGCUAUUAGAAGUAUAGAGACCUCCGAUUUUGAUGAUGGGAUUUUCAAAUAGACAAUCGGCUUUGUUAGACUUAAUCUAGCGUAUUUAAACUAUUUUGAAAAUAAAUUUUGCAGUUUUUCGAUAUUAUUUACCUAGUAAUCGAAAUAAUUCAAAAUCAACGAAUGAAAAUAAAAAUAUCAUAAAAUAUUAUGAUGUAGCACUAAAAUUUUCGAUCAUAAAUAUUGAUCUUGUUGUAGAUAAUAUAAAUAAUUUUUUAUCAAAAUUUUAUAUGAUUUGAAUACUUCUACACCGUUAAACUUGCAAAAUAUCAGCCGUUAAAAAUUGAUGAUUAUAUAACACUUAUACUACAUCAUUAUUAAUUCGCUAAUCAUAUCAUUUUUUAGGAAAAAAGUACAAUAAAAAUAUUUUUUUAAUAAUCAUCAAAAGAAAAUAAUCUAAUUAGUUGGAGACGCCACAUCGGCAAUAUAAUUGGUGUAUUCUAGACUUUUUCCUUAUUUAUAGUGUUUGUGUUAUUUUAAAAAUUAUUUUGGUAUAAAUUUAAUUUGCUCUCUUGUGAUUUAGCUCAUUUUUAGUAUAUUACCCACAAAGUUGCACUAGUUAUUUUGUGAUUAUAUUUAUUUUUAUCUAAAAAAUAUACUAUCACAUAGAAUAGCUAAGUAAAUUUUUUUAAUAAUUAAAUGUAAUUUUUGAGUUCACAAGAUGAUAAAAAAAUAAUAAGCUAAAUUAUAGGAUGUUAAGUAUAACUUUUUGAAGCACGCAAUGGUAAAAUAAAAAUAAGCUAAGCCAUAGGGCAGCAAUUUUAAGUUAAUUAGUAGGGCAGCAAUUUUAAGUUAAUUAGUAUUCUAUUCGGAUGCAUGAAUAUUUUAUUUCAAAUAUCAUUCUAAUUUACACAAGAAGCACUUAAGAGUAUAUAUGGGCAAAUAUCUAGAAUAGAUACUAUAUUCAUUCUUUAACUUAUUUAUCAGAAUACAAUUAAUCAUCUUAUAGGUACAAAUAUGUUAUCCUAACAAAUUAUAAAUAAUAAAAUAUUUUAAAUAAAAAAUUAAAAUUUUAAUUUCUAAUUAUAUAAAAAAAUCUUUACAUCAAAUAAAUAUCUGAAAUAAGAUUUUAAAGUAUCAAAAUAUAAGUUAAACAUUAUUCAUGUUACACCAUUUUCUUUUUUAUGUGAAGGAAAGAUAUUAAGCUAUCUAUUUUAUUAAUUUCUUUUAAAAAAUAAACUAAUUUAGAAAUGUAAAAGAACUAGUUUUCAAACUUAAUAUCUCAGAUGCCAACUAUCAGUUAGAAUGUGUCACAUACUGUAAAGCACUUUUCGGCCCAUUGAACCUUUAUGAAGUUGCACUUCUGUUAAAGUUGGUUGAUUUUUUAUUUAUUUCUUUAUUAAAAGAUAAAAAUAUAUUGAAUUUAUCUGAAUUAUGAAUUAUUUUGAGUUAGCUAUGGAUAUUUCAAAAUUUUAAUUUUACAAUCUUAUCUUUUAAUUUGUUUGACCAAGUCAGUCAACGAUAUUUUUACUUCAAAAAUUUAAGCUAAUUAUUUAUUUUAAUAAAUUUAUAGCUGCGAGAAUUGUAUGAAGUAUGUUAACAAAAUCUGUAAGAAUAAACGACGGAUUCAAAAUACUCCUUAGUUUAAGUAAGUUCUAUAUGUUUUUACCAAAUUAAAAUUUUCAAAUAACUUUUUGUAUCAAUAAAAAAUAAAACAAAAAUUUAUAUUGGAGCUUAUGUUUUCAAUAAAUAAAUUUUAAAAAUUAGGGGCCUUUGUUUAUAUACAAUUCACUACUAUUCAAAACUUUUAAAUUUACCCAUCUAUUUUCAAAAGUACCCUUAAGGAAUUUUUCAAAACUCCAUGGUCAACUCAAGAUAAAUUAGAUAUUUUUGAAAUUCUGCCAUAUCAUUCCUAAUAAUUAAUAUCUUAAUUUUAUUUCUUAAAUGACGGAUUACUGCUCUAAUAACGGUGUUCAAGAUUUAUCCAAGCUAAAUAUUUGUCUGGGAAUGAUCAAAUUUGUUAAUCAAUGGAUUUUUCUUUUCGAAAAAAAAUUAUAGAAUAAUUUUCCAUGCAUAAUUAUAAAAGAGAAGAAGAGAAAAUAAAGCGAAACACUAUAGAGAUAACUAUGAUUGCUCCUCGACCAUUAAGAUUAUAAUACAAAUUUGUAUAGUCUUGAUACUUUGUGUGAAAAUUUUAUUUUAUUUUAUUUAAAUAUAAAAUUAUUUAAAUAUUAUUUUUUAUUAGUUUAAAUUUUUAGAAUAAAAUGGUUGUUUCGUAUUAUUUUGAUAUGGUAUUAGAAUUGAAGAUUCUGAAUUCAAGUUAUUAAUUUAAGUCCACAUCAUGAGCCUAAUGAAAAGUUUCGAGUUUAGACGUGAGGGAAAGUGUUAAAUAUAAAAAAAUUUAAACAUCGUUCUUUACUAGUUUAAGUUUUUAGAGUGCAACAGUAGUUUCAUUUCAUUUAACAGUUGUUUUGGUUUUAAAGGUGCCUACAAGCUUCCCAUAAUAUAGUUUUGGAUAUAUAUUUGUGUAUAUUCACUCUGAAUAUAGUUUUAUGAGUAAUACUUCAAUACACCAUAUAAAUUUUGACCAUUUAUUUUUCUUAAUAGGUGGUUUAGAUUUAAUAUAAAUCUAGAGGUGACCUACUAUUGAAGCAUUGGUAUCAUUCACCAGGCACCUAUUUAAAGGGUAUUUUGGUCUUUGUAAAAUAUUAUGGUCUACAAAACCAGUUUUAUCCAACUAAGAAUACUGUGAUCUUUUCAAAAGCCUAUGGUAGUUGGAUUUCAAAUUACAACCAAAUUGUAAAUUUAAAUUCAAAACAACAUUUAAAACUUAAUUAUAAAUCAAAUUCAAUUUUUUUAAAUAUAAAACACAAAUUUAAAAUAAAGCUUUCAGUUCCAAUUUAAAAUUUCAAUUUAAAUCAAAAAUUAAAUUUUGGCUUUAAGAUUAAAAAUUCAAUUUAGAUUCAAAUUUAAAAGUUUAAUAUAAAUUUCAAGAUUAAAAUUUUAUAUUACAAUACCAACUUCAAAAAUUAAAUUUAGAUUUAAUAUUUUUUGAGCCGGAUACUUAACAAAUUGGGUAUUAUCUAAUUUGGUAAGUUACCAAAGUAAAUAAAAUAUUUAAUAUUUAUAGGAUGGUGACAAAUUUGGUAUAUACUACUAUUUUUUUUUUCCAAUAUUGUUAUAUUAACUAAUUCAAAUCGGUAACCUGCUCAACAGGUUAUGUCAUGUAAAAUCCAAUUAUACUCUUUACUAAUUAAAGAAUUAGAUUUUAAUAUUUAUGGUGUAUUGAAGCAUUCCUCUAGUUUUAUUAAUCAAUGUGGAUUUUUUUUUUUAUGCUAUUUGUUGCUUGUAAUAUCACAUAUGAUUGUCGACACAUUAAUAGUCUUUAAAAAUAUGUAUAUAGGAGCAGUAAUUUUAUGAAUCUAAACCUACAAGUUAUUGAAACUGGAUGAACGAAUUAGAACGCAACCUAGACAAUGACGUACACAAUUUGAUUAGAAAAAUCUUAAUUAAGAAAGAAGGAAACAAGGGGAAUAAGAUAAUUAAUUACAAGAUGACGUCACAUGAUAUCAAUUAAUUCUUCAACAAGGCCCAAGUAUAAUUUGCCCAAUGGCCUUGAUGCAGGAAACUUACCCUAAUUGGAUUAAAGUUUUUUAGACAAAAAUAUAUCUUCAUUGCUUAGGUUAAAUCACAUGAUUUAGAACUUGCCGAAAGAGUGAAGUUAAUUUUUGUCUAUUAUUAUAGAUAAUUGUUAAUUACGAGACUGUUUGGUUCACUCAUUUUACUUGGUUUCGUAUAGCUACAACUGCUACAGUUAUGUAUAUUUAUUCUCUUUGGUAGUUUGAAAAUGUCUCUAAUUUCUCACCAGUUGGGUGAUUCGUUUUUUUCCCAACUAUUGAUAUAUGGGUGGAGUUGGAGUUAAUUUGAGUAUAAUUCCAAUUAUAUAGUAGUUAGACUCAAAUAUACUAAGCCUGGACACCUAUUUAAAUUUAUGUACAAUUAAAACUAUAAAUAAGUAGUUGUGUGCAGUCAAAUAGCCUCUAUACUGAACAUACAUUAUAGACGGUCACGAUAAUGUAUGAAAAUGUACCUCUCAAAAGAAGAGAUAAAAAAAAAAAAAAACUUUUUAUACACUCAAGAAAAAGGGUGUAGAUCUUACCCCUCACAAUUUAGGGCUGACAGAAUCCAAAUAAUUUUUAAUAAAAAAAAAUGAUGUGAUAAGUAAAGUAUUAAUGACCUUGGAAUAGAGUGGGAGUAAAAUAUACACCUAACUAUGGGGUGUACUGGUAUCAUUGCUCACAAGAAAAUAGCCUCAUAAUUGGUAGCAAAGAUUAUAGCUGCAGUAUAUAUAAUUUUUCUUACAAUAUUUCUCCAAUUUGGAAUUAAAAAGAAAAACUCGUUAGCAAAGUGUAAAUUUCCAGUCAAAUUGGAAAAAAAAGAAGAAGAAAAUUCCAAUUCAAAAUGAAUUGAGCUUUGAAGAGGUUAAUGGCAACAAAAUUUAUUGUGCAUCUCAUAAAAAAGCAGAGAGGGCUGAAAUUACUUUUAAGCUGUAAUUAAAUGCUUAAUUUCAUUGCUUUUGUAAACAAUAUUUGCCCGCAACUCUACUUUUUCAAAAAAUGCGGUUAUUAAUUUUGUCCUGAGUGAUUAUGAAGUCACUUACAAGAUAGAUAGAGAUGAAAAAAAUAAUCAAAAAAACAUAUCUGCUGUAACUUUUUUUUUUUUUUUCCCUUUUAUAUACUAGUGUGAAAUUUUUUUCAAAAAAUAAAUAAAAAAGGGGAUAAUUGUAUUUCUAAAGCCAUUGACUUUUAUCAUGGAACGGUGGUAGAAAAAAUAUUAUUCUUUUGAAUUUCAGGACCAGUAAAAAUCAUUUUUAACGUGAGAAUCGAUUACUUAUCAGCAAACAAACAGGCCCUUCAAGUUGGAAUAUCAUGCAUGGCACAUUUCCACGACUUUGAGUAAUUGCAAGAGCUCAAUAUUUUUGUUCCACCCACUGGCUAUAAGGUGAUGCCUUGGUAUUGAAUACAUUUUCUUUCAAUACUUUAGCACACUUUCUUAAAAAAAUAUAUAUAAUAAAAUAAGAAUAAAAAAACCAUAUCAAGAGUAGUCCUUCAUAUUUGGUACAAGUGAGAAAUUUUUGGCAGCAUAUAGAAAAGAGAAUUCUGAUUUUAUUUAGCAAAAUUGAUUAAUUUUCAGAUCAUUACAUUUUAGCCAUCAGUUGCGCUUAUUUUUGACAUCUUUUUCUUAAGUCUUGCAAACCAUACUCUAGAGGUUACAUAGAGAGUAUCAUACAAACUGUCUACAUAUUGGAACCACCAAAUCCUAAAUCUUUUAUUAACCAACAGGGCUCCAGUAAUAGGCCAAAAUCCAACUGCAAAUCCUGCUAUUGUAAUAAGGCAAAGGAGUAAGAUCUCUUUUCGAUUUUCAUCUGCCUUUUUUGAAACAUCAGAUCCUGCACGACCAUUAACAGUCGGUGGAGUACGACUUAACUGGCCAAUUGUCGGGCCUUCGGCUUGGCCUUCAUUACCUGGGCAACUCACAUUUAUUUGGAAUCCGCAGAGAUAUUGGUUUCCGACAUAUAUGUUAGGGUCGGUGAAUGUGUCCAUCGGAAUUCUUCCUGAGAAGUUGUUGUACGAUAUGUUCCAGAUUUCCAAGAAGCUUAAGUCGGACAAGCUAGAAGGAAUUGCUCCUGAUAACUUGUUUCUCGACAAGUCCAGAUAUAAUAGUUGCGUCAGAUCGCCGAUCUUGAAAGGUAUUUGUCCUGUUAGAUCAUUACUCGACAAGUUGAAUAUCAACAAUCCCAGAAGAUUUGUUAGUUCAUCGGGUAUGCGUCCCGACAAGCUAUUCCUAGAGAGAUCCAAGAUCGUCAUCUGCAAAAGAAGAUCACUACCAUAUUGAUCUUCUCUUCCUUUGAUGUCCAAUAUCAUAUUCUCAUCAUGAAUACCAAUUGUGCUGUUUAGGAUAGGUCCAAUGUUUGUAUGAGGGUUCCUCAUAGCCAUGAAGUUGCCGAAGGUCAUCGGUAUCGGCCCUGAAAGAUUGUUGUUUGAGAGGUCUAAGAUUCGGAGAGCAGUAAGAUUAGAGAGUUCUGUUGGAAUUCGGCCGACAAACUUGUUUGAUUUCAAGCUAAGAAUCUUGAGAGACGAGAGCUCUCCAAGCCAGAUUGGUAUCCUUCCUGUAAACAUGUUACCGCCAAGAUCAAGAGUAUCCAGCAUCUUGCAGGUCUUUAAGGAUGAGGGAAGCUCUCCAGAUAAACUGUUUUUCCUUAGGUGCAAUGAUCGAAACUGAGGCGAUUCACAAAGCCAUUCGGGUAUUCCUCCAGAAAGAUUAUUAUUUGAAAGAUCCAAAACUUCUAAUUGAGUAUUAUUUUGACAGUUUGGGAGCUCUCCUGAUAAAUUAUUGUUUGAGAUUGAUCUGGUAAUCAAUUGUGAACUACAAAUAGACAUGGGGAUCCUGCCAUUUAUUCUAUUCCUCGACAACAAAAGCGCACUUAAAUUAGGCAUUAGCUGGAAAAUAUCAUCAGGAAUAGGGCCCAUAAAUGAAUUGCUUGACAAAUCUAGUUGUGCCGUGUUUGACGGAAAACGUGGCACUGGUCCCUCAAAGAAGUUGGAACUUAAAUCAAUAAAUAAAUCUGUAUCAGCCCUGAAUUUUAUUAAGUUGGGUAUCACACCAUGUAGCUCAUUAUUAGCGAGAUAAACAGUAGAAAGAUUGGUCAUUGAGUUCCAAAACCAAUUUGGCACUGAAUCUGAAAUCCCCGUGGAAGAUAGAUCGAGGCUGGCUAGAGACUUCUGAGUAUGAAGCCAUGAGGGAAACUGGGGGCCUAGUUUACAGCCACGGAAGACCAAAUCACUGAGUUGGAAAGGAGGAACCCAAUUGUUGCUCAGAUUCAAAACCAACGAGUUAGAAGUCAGGUCGAUGAUCUCCAACUUUGUAAGAUUAGAAAAAUGAUAUUCUGAAAUAACUCCGAUGAGAGCGUUGGAGCUAAGAUCCAAAGAUUUUACCUCACUAAGGUUUCCAAGACAUUCCGGAACAGUGCCAUUUAGCUUAUUGUUAUAAAAAGCGAACACCUGUAAGGUGGAUAGUUUACAAAAAGAGGUGGGGAUUGAACCGGAAAGUGAGUUCAAUGAAAGAUCAAGAAUAUUUAGAUUGUUCAGGUCACUGAUCCAAUCCGGCAUGUUGCCACUUAGAGAUGUGCUACUUAAGUACAACUCUCGCAAGCUAUUUUGGAGACAUCCAGAAAAAGACUCUUUGAGUGCAUCUAACCGGGAAUUAAUUGUGGAACCUGAAAAAUCUAGUGUGCGAAGCUCACAGAGAUUGCCCAAACUAGACGGCACCCCGGCAUCGAAGUCAACAUUGCCCAGUUCAAGCACCUUUAGAGAAGCCAAGUUUCCAAUUGCAGAUGGAAUGAGCUCUGCAAAUCCACUUGAAGUGAGAUAAAGAUAUUGAAGGGAAGUAAUUCUAAACAACCAGUCGGGUAAGCUAGAAUUUACUUCGCUGUUAUUAGGAUAAUCAUCAAGUGACGUGUAAGAAAGAUCCAAAAGGGAAAGAGAGGUAAAAUUGACAUGCGGGAGAGAUUGUGGAAAGUUAACAAGUUGGCACUGCUGCAAACGAAUGUCUUGUACUAAAGGAAGCAUGUUCAAUGCUUGUAGGCAAUUAGACGUAUUCUCAAUCGAAGAAUAGCUCAUAUCAAUAUGAAGUAGAGAGGUGAGUCGAGAAAGCCAAUUAGCGUUACUCAAUGUAAGUGGAUUACCAGAAAGAUCCAGAAUUUGAAGUCUUGAGAGAUUUCCGAGCUGAUCGGGUACCGUCCCAAAAAAAUACGACUGAGAUAUGUUAAGAUAGUUUAACUUCUCGAACGAACCGAUCCACUGGGGAAUCGAUAUGCCUGCAAAGUAAUUGCUGCUGAGAUCCAAAUAGCUCAGUUGCUUAAGACGGAGCAAAGAAGGAUUGAUUUUGUUGCCGACAAGUUCUCUCCCUUGAAGAUCUAAAUGCACGAUGUGUCCGGUUCGGUUGUCGCACUCCACGCCUUCCCAUUUGCAGCAAUUUUUUCCCUCCCAAGAAAAGAAGACAGCUGCAGUUCGGUUGAAACCUCCGGCAAACCUCAGAAGUGCUUCCCUCUCGGCAUCUGGGCAACUCAUAUUAGAAGAUUUGAAUGCCACAGCAUAUGCAAACGAGAGGAACAACAGCAAAGCUCUUUUUAUUGCUUUGUAAUAAUCCAUUCUCAGAAUUUCUUCUUCUUCUUCUUCUUUUUUUUCUUUUUUUUUUUUUUUUUUUUUUUGUUUUCCCCGAUUUUUUUUUCUUUUUUUUUAGCAGUGCCUCACGUUGGAUUUAUAGUUACCAAAGCUUAUAGGCUAAAAAGUCAGUCAACACGAAGUUGCACCGAAAUGCCACCAUAAAAUGCUUCCCACUUUGUUGACGAGGGUGUUUAAUUUUCCAAGAUGACUUAGACUUCACCAUUAUGGAAAAGCCGAAAGCUAAUUUAAUAAAGAGACAAUCUAUAAUAUCUAUAAUCUAUAAUAACAUACAUGAAUUCUCAGUUUUGGAACAGGUGGCGAGCGUGGAGGCGUGGGCAGGGGCGAGCGCGGGGCGCGGGCAGGCGGGCGCGCGUGGCGGGGCGCCUCGUGGCGCGGGCACGCGGGGCGCGGGCAGGAAGCGCGAGCCGGCGCAAGGCGCGGCGGGACAGGUGGCGGCGAGCGAAGCGCGGCAGGGGCGAGCGUGGGGCGCGGGCCGGCGGGCGUGCGUGGCGGGGCCGCCGCGUGGCGCGGGCGAGCGGGCUGCGCGGCAGGCGGCACGUGGGCGGGCCACGUGCGCGGGGGAGAGGAGAGGGAGAGGAGAGGAGAGGCGGGCGCACGUGGGCGCGGGCGCGCGGGGCGCGCGCAGGCGGGCGAGCUCGCGGGCCGCCGCGUGCGCGGGCGAGAGGACGGGGAGAGGAGAGGAGAGGAGCGAGAGGAGAGGCGGGCCCAGCUAGGAGAGCAGAGAAGGUAGAGAGAAGGGAUUUUUUUUUUUUUUUUUUUGUCUCUUUUUGUCUCUUUCUACUUUUUCUUUUUUAUUUUUAUUUUAUAAUAUUGUUCUCUUAAUAUAUGAUUAAAAAAUUUAUAAAUUUUUUAAUUCAAUUAAAAUUUUAUUUAUUUUUAUAAAAAUUUAAAAUAUAUAAAUAAUUUUAAAUAAGUUAAUUAUUUGUAUUCAAUAUAAAUUUUAAUUAAGAUGAAUUAAAGAAUUAUUAAAAAUAGAUAAAAAAUAAGGAAGGAUUUAAAAAUGAAACAUUAAAAAAGUAAAAAAAAUAAAAAUAAAAGAAUAAGAUAGAUAGAAGAAAGAAUAGAGAGCAAAAUGUAAGAACAAUAAAUUAAUUUUUCUAAAAAUUAUAUAUAAUUAUAAUAAUAAUUAUAAUAUAUAUAAUUAUAAAUAUAAUUAUAUAUAAUUUCUUAUUAGUAUGAUUUUUAUCUUUAUUUUUUUAAUCUUUCUUAUAAUUUAUUUUUAUAAUUUUAUUACAGCAAUAGUUGUUUAUUUUUUAGUUAUUUUUUUAUAUAAUUUUUUGACUCCUUAUUUUUAUUAUUAUUUAUUUUAUUUAUAUAUUUAUUUCUGCAAAAUCAUCCCGCCGCAACGCGCGGGUCCUUCACUAGUUAUCAAUAUAUCCCUCUCAAAUUCUCACCUGUUAUAUAUUGCGCUGAAAAACAUCUGUUCCUAAAUAUAUCUUCCAAAAUUUUUAAAUAAAAAUUAAAAGAAAAUCAAAUCCUUGGAUUCGGUUGGGUCUGAAUAAUUAAUAUACUAUAUACCAAUAUUCUAAAAGGAAAUAUGUAAAAAAAACAUACCCUGUCAUUUAACAUCCGGGCGGCACUCGAUCUACAUAUUUAAGUUAUUAAUGCACUUAUUGGGUCUAUUUGAACGAAUUUGAAUAGUGGCUGCCCACAUAAGCUCGAGUAUGGAUAAGGAUGUCCAGUACGGAUAUCCGAAAUUUUAUCCGAAACCAAAUCUGAAAAGAACGAAUUUAUUCAAUUCUAAACGGAAAUAGUUUUGGAUAUGAAUAUAAGAAACAAAAACUCAAAUAAUUUGGAUUCAGAUAUGAAUUUAUUUAUAUAUUUUUUGAAUUAUACUUUAAAAAUUUAGAUUUAAUGUUAUAUAUUUUAAAAUAUUGUAAAUAGAAAUAAUUGUUUCGGGUUCGGGUUUGGGCUCUGGUUUCGAAGAAGUUUAGGUAGGGCUGGCAAACGAGCGAGCCGGCUCGCGUUCGACUCGUGUUCGGCUCGAUAUUUGGCUUGCUCGAGCUCGACUCGAAAUUAAAUGAGCCGAGUUUGAACAAAAUAAAAGGCUCGAAAUUCAUUUCAAGCCGAGCUUGAGUAUUACUCGGCUCGUUCGAAUUAGGCUCGAAAAGCUCGAAAAGCUCGAAAAGCUCGAAAAUAUAUAUAUAUAUAUAUAUAGGCCGGGGCUACUAUACUCUUAUGAGUAUAGACCCCCUUGUACUCAUAAAUUUUUAACCGUUGAUUGAUGGGAUGUGUGGUUAGGAUGAUGGUGGUCCCACUUAAAAUGAUAGUGGUCCCCUAGAGUUGAGUGGGUAGUUGGUUGAAUAGUAUGAUCUAACGGAUGGAAAUGAUCAGUGAAAUAAAUCUAAGGGCCGAAAACUUAUGAGUAUAAAAGAGCCAAUACUCAUAAAAGUACAGUAGCCGGACUCUAUAGAUAUUUAUAUAUAUAUAUAUAAUGUAUUUUAAUUAUAUAUAGGCUUUAAUUUAAUUUGGGCCAUUAUUGUUGGCCCAUAAAAUAAACCCAACAAGUACAACCGUGCAAUUGAGCCCAACUCUAAAUUUACAUAACACACUCUCUCUUUCAGACUUUCACUGUUGCACAUAACCCUAAAAUAUGAUAAUAUUCAAAUUUCCAAAUCCCUAAUUUUUUUUCCUCUCUCUCUCUCUCUCUCUCUCUCUGACCCUCACCCAGUCAGGCAGUCACCCUAGCUCACAUUUCUUACAAUUAUUUUGUAUUUUGAACUAUUGAACAUAUUGUAUCAAAUUAUAGGUAAUGUUCUAUAAAAAUUAAACUAUUGAUUAUAUUAUGUCGAGAAUUUCAAUCGGCUCGUUUAGAGCUCGAGCUCGGCUCGACUCGAAAUUAGGCUCGCUCGAGUUCGGCUCGAAUUAAUUUCAAGCCGAGCUUGAGCCUAGAUUUAAGCUCGAAAUUAAUUUCAAGCCGAAUUUGAGAUGACAUAAGCUCGCUCGAGCUCGGCUCGUUUCCACCCCUAAGUUUAGGUCGGGGUCGUGUUUGGAUAUAGAUUUUUAAAAUCCAUCGGAUUGGGUUUAGAUUCGGGUUUCGGGUUUGGUAGUCGGGUUUGGAUUCAGUUUUUUGAAAAUUUGCUCUAAAUCCAACCCGUUGACAUCUCUAGGUACAGAUCGGACAAGGAUCGAGUCUAGAUCGAGUACAGAAACCUCUAUAUGUAUAUAUUGUAUAAAGCACAAAUAUUUAUUCUAUGGUAAGUGUAAAAUAAAAAUAUAAAUUUAUAAUAGAUACACCAUAAGUUCAAAACACAUGCAUGUAUUUUUUUGAGAAAAAGGUAGCACGCUACCUGCUUCAUUCAUUUAGAGGAUGAAUUAGGCUUACAUAAUGGAGGCAACCGGGGCCUCCGACGGGAGAAAGAGCGUCAAAAGCCAGAAAAACAAAGACAAGAAACGAAAACGACAAGAGACUAAAACCAAAAAAAAGAAGGAAAUGAGGGUAAGGGAAGCGAAAGCGACAAAUAACUAAAACCAAAAGAGGAAGAAAGAAAGUGUAAAAGCGACAGGCGUCAAACAGCAGGGAUCCAGCAGGGUCAACAAGGAGCGAUCCAGGUGUCAAGCAGCAGUUUUGCCCGUUCCAGGCACCGAGUAGGGUUGGGGGCAAUCUCUCGAAAGAUUAAACUAUUCCUUUUCGUCCAAACGACUCACCAAAUGGCAGAAAGGAGGGAGGGGGAAAUAAGUCUCUCUUUGGCGUCUCUUAGAUCAAUAAGUUUAGACCAGAGGUCUCUCACAUCGUCCGAGGGAUCAGUCAGAGCCUCCAAGCCGCCUACGCUCAGCAAAAUAAAGCGAACAAAGACACAGGAGCUUAUGAGGUGGUCGCAACUUUCCAAAUUAACGGCACAGAAAAAACAUGUUUGAUCCGCUAGCCACCCUUGCUUAUGGAGCCUGUCUGCAGUGGGGAUCCUCUUACGAAGUAGUAGCCAUAGGAAUACUUUGAUCUUGCCAGGGAUAUUCAAUUUCCAGAUAUGUUGACUUAGGGGGUCCACCAUGCCUGAGUCCGUGAGAAAGUGAUAAAGGGAUCUGACUGAAAACUUUUGGUUGGAGGUCCAACGCCAUUUGAUUAGGUCCGGAAGCUGAGUUGGCCGGAUGGGCCGAAGCAAGUCCAUAAGCAGGCCCUUUUGUCUAUGAUAGUUCACAGGUAGAGGCCCUGCUGGACCGCGGCAGAUAUAUUGCCACCGCCAGCCAUUAGGGCCCCAGCACUGAGCAAUAGUUGUCUCCUUGUUUCGGGUAUGACCGUAGAUGUCGGGGAAGAGAGUACGAAGGGGAGCCUCGCCGUACCAAAUUGAUGACCAAAUCUUAAUAUCUUUGCCGUUUCCGAGGUUGUAGGUUGUACCGCAUUUAAAGAUGUCCCGGCAUCGCAUUACACUUUUCCACCACUGAGAAUAUGGCACAAAGGCCCUGCCCUCAUGAAGAGGUUUGCGUCUAAUAUAAUAAAUCGAUUUGACUAACUUCUUCCAAGGUAGAUCUGGUUCGCUAAAGAAGCGCCACCACCAUUUAGUUAAAACCGCUGUAUUCAUAGUUGCCAAAUCCUUGAUUCCUAGGCCUCCUUCUUUUUUGCUUUUGCAGACUGCCCUCCAAUUUACGAGGCAUGCCCCUCCAGAUAUGUUUGUGCAUCCGCACCAAAAGAAAGCUCUCCUCAAGGCUUCAAUUCGGCGCAGAGCCCAUUGUGGAGCUUUAAAGACGGAGAGGAAGUGAAGUGGCAGAUUUGAAAGGACAGAGUUCACGAGGAUCAACCUCCCUCCUUGGGAGAGGAGCUUGGCCUUCCACCUUUCAAUUCUCUUAUAAUGCGGUUGAUAAUGAUCGACCAGUCCUCUUUUCGCAAAGAUCUAUUGCAAAGGGGUAGUCCCAGAUAGCGGAUAGGGAGGCUUCCAACUUGGCAGCCCAGGAUGUUAGCAAGCCUGGUAGCUCUAGAGGUGUUUGAGCCCAGGUAGUACAGUUCGGACUUGUCCAUAUUGAUUUGGAGUCCAGAGGCCCAUUCAUAAAAUUUCCAUAAGAAACGCAAAUUUCGCAGGAUAAAUUUCCUAGGCUCGCAGAAGAAGAUCGUGUCGUCGGCAAAUUGAAUCAGAAUAGUUUGACAGUCCGAAGUUGGGCCGAUUCCCCGAAGAAAGCUAUUCCUGCAGGCCAUGUCGGAAAGUCUGGAAAGACAAUCUGCAACAAUCAAGAAGAGAUAGGGGGAGAGAGGGUCGCCUUGCCGAAGACCCCUUCGUGUUUUCAGCCAGUUUGUAGGAGUGUCGUUCACAAGGAUGGCUAUUUUGGCGUUACAGACGCACUGUUCAAUCCAGGACCACCAUUUUUCACUAAACCCGAGCCAAAGCAUGAUUCCUUUCAGAAAGGGCCACCGAACGUUGUUGAAAGCCUUUUCAAAGUCUGCUUUGAGACUGACGCAUUCCUUCCUAGUUUUGGAGCACAAACUGAUUAGUUUGCAGGCGUUGACGAACGAGUCCGCAAGCAGUCGGUCUUUGAGGAAGGCCGAUUGGGAAGGAGAAAUAAUAGACGGUAGAACCAGGGCAAUCCUAUUCGCAAGAACUUUGGAAAUAAUUUUCUGGAUGCCGUUGAUGAGACUAAUUGGGCGAAAAUCCUUGGCCUGGCACGCGCUUUCUUUCUUGGGAAUGAGGCAGAUGAAGGAGUAGUCAAUCGGGGCUGUGGAAAGCGUGCCCCCUUGGAGAUCAAUGAAAAUCUUGUAAAUGUCGUCUUUAACGGUUUCCCAAAAAGUUUGGUAGAAGAUAAGUGGAAACCCAUUAGGUCCAGGAGCUUUAUCACUACCAAGUUGAAAAGUAGUAGCCUUAACUUCCUCCAUGUCGAAGGGGGCAGUUAGACACUCAGGUUGUAGUAGCGUGUUGGAUUGGAAGAGAGCGCUCCAAUCCCCGAAGGAGGAAGGUCCGUUCUCUGCCUGACCGAACAAUCGGUGGAAAUACUGAUAGAAAAAGUAUCUUUUGUGAUCCUCCGUGUUUAACAGUCUCCCAGUGUCAUCUUCUAUUACUUCAAUGGGGUUGGUGCGUUUCCUUCCGUUGGCCACAGCAUGGAAGUACUUGGUAUUAGCGUCCCCCUCCUUGAGCCAUAAUUGUUUGGACCUGGUUUUCCAGAGGACUUCCUCUUCUUCCAAAAUCUGUGUGAGGUUUGAUUUGAUACGUUCUCUCUUAUCGUGGAGAUCUAAGCUCAGAUCUUGGAGCUCUUCCAUCUGAUCAAUGGACUGAAGCUCAUCCAGAAGGGACUUCUUAGCUACGGUAAUAUUGUAAAAGUUCGAUUUGCACCAUUCCUUCAUACGAACUCUGCAGUGCCUCAGUUUAGCAGCAAUAGUGAGGAUCGCUGAUCCUUUAGGACUGACUUCGUUCCACCAUGUGGUACUUUGGAGAUAAAAUCCUCUUUCGUGAGCCAGACUUUCUCAAAACGAAAUCUACGCGUCGGAGGUGGGAGCCUAGAGUAGAGGAGGAUCGGAGUAUGAUCAGAGGUGAUUCUAGGGAAGGCUUUGGCCUUGCACAGUGGGUGAGAGAGGUCCCAUUCCGUGGAGACGAGGAACCUGUCUAGUUUUGCCAUGGUGGGUUGACGAUACAUGUUAGACCAAGUGAAGCUUUGAUUUGAAAGCGGAACAUCAAUGACCUUUAGGUUAUUGAUAAGAUCCGAGAACAUCUCCAUGGAUUUUCUACUCCAAGUACGUCCACUCCUUUCGGUUUGAUUUCUGGUGAAGUUAAAAUCCCCACAGAUGACCCAGCUGGUGCAGCAAAUAUCUUUGAGGGAAGCCAAUUCAGAACAGAAGGCGUCCUUACCCUCCCAGGUGGGGGGUCCGUAAACAUUAGUGAUGAAGAAGGUCGAGCCGCUCGCGUGAUGGGAGAGGCGUAUGGUAAGAGAGUACGAUCGAACAAUAACUUCUAGCCCAGCAAAGUAACUCGAGCACCAAUAGAUAAUAAGACCUCCUGAGGCCCCGACGACCGGCAAAAAGUGACAUUUAUCAAAACUAGAGCCACAACAUGAUCUAAGAAAAGACCGAGAUACAGAGUCGACUUUAGUUUCCUGGAGACAGACAACUGCACGGUAGUGCCUAGACACGAUAGAUUUAACUAGACAUCUUUUACGAGGAUCAUUGAGACCUCGAACGUUCCAACUAAGAAAGGAAGACAUCAAAAAGAGACGAUCCCCUUAGGAGCAACAUCAGAACAGUAAAAGGGAGAGAAACUAAGUUAAAUUAGACCCCGACGGACAGGAAGUUCUGAAGAUCCUUCGCUUCAGCAUCAGAUAUCGCUACUCCAAGCAGAAGACUCUUCUUCUUGAUUUUAGAGCGAGACAGAUUACGAGCGGAGCGGCCUGGUUCAGACGAGGAUCCUUCCAAUAGUUUAGCUUUCCUGUUCGUUGCUCGCUCGAGCACGUUGACAUCCGUCAGAUUCGAGAGUCUGGCGCUUACCUUAAGGGAGGUUAGGGCUCCGCCAGUCAGUUGGGAGGGGGAGGGCUCAGCAGAGUGGAGGGGGGGAGCAUGCUGGUAGGACAGAAGGAGCCCAAGGCCGGGCCACAGGAGGUAGGCAAGGUGGGAGGCAGCAAGUAGUCUCCGACCCCCGGGGAGGGAAGGCGCGUCAUGGGAGGGAGGGCGAGCCGGGGGGGCUUCGGGCUGGCAUGAGAGCUCAGGGGGUUCAAGCCCGGACUGAGGGAGCACCGAUCAGGGGAGCCCGAGGCCGGACUGUCCAGGGCGAGGCCCACGUUGGGUCCACAGAUGGGUUCCAGCAAGCGGAGGAGGCGGGCCGGGGGAAAAUCUGGCCGCGACCGGGGCCCCAGCCCAGGGGUACGGGCUGGCGAGAAGCCACAGUGCCAGCCGGGGGAGCCGCUCGACCUAGGCGGGGAGCACAGGCAGGCGCGGAGCUCGAUCGCGGGGAGCUGCGGACUGCCGCGGGAGGUGCUCGGCCAUGCGAGGAGGCUCGGCCGACAGUGAGGGAUCGCGUAGUCCAGGGUCAGAGGGAGCACUCAGGCAAGAUCAGGCCGAGCCGGCUCAUCCAAGGCCAGGCCUCAAGUUGGGCUCCACAGAUUGGUUCGAGCAGGCGUGGGAGCUCGGUAACCGGCGGGGGACUCGCGGCGGGGGAGCUUGGAACCUGGCGGGUAGGGCUCGGGCCGGCGGAGGAGGAGCUCGGCCGAGCGGGGAGCUUGGACCGGCGAGGGCUCGGGCCGUCGGAAGGUCCUAGAGUCCGAACAGAGGGAGCACAAGCAGAAAGGCAGAUGCGGCGGGGGACUUCGGACCGACGGGGGAGCACAGGCGCGGAUCGGUGAGAGCUCGGGCCGCGCUGGGUGGAUGCUCGAAACCGCUGGGGGAGCCGACACCGCAGGAGUGGCUCGUGGCGGCAAGUGUAAUAUACGAAAAAUUUCGGGUUGCGAUGCUAAUUUUAAUCUGGAAUAUUAAAGUGAAAUGUGAAUUGGAUGUGCAUCAUUCCAGAGUGUUUCUGGACGUGUGGGAAUGAUCUCUGGAGGUAAUUGGGUAUUCGGGCACAAAUCGGGCGCGAAAUGAACUUGAAAGGGAAUUUUCGGAUUAUGACGCUAACUUUAACCUACGCGAUCAAAGUGAGAUAUGAAUGUUAAUUAUAGUACCUCCGAAUUAUUUUGGAAGUGCGAGGAUAGUUAAUGACAAAUUCCGGAGAUGCUUGGAUGUUAAAAAAAUAAAAAAAAAGUCGGAUUUUGAUUACAUUGUUAAAUUUGGAACAAGUUGGUCGAAGUAAGGCCAAAAUAAAAUUAAUUUGCUUUCGAGCUUAAUUAGUAGCUUCGGCAUAGUGUUUAGUAUGAUUUGGAAGUGAUUAGAAAUAUUCGAGGCGAGGCAAGGUGGAAGAACGAAAUGGGUUGAUAAUGCUGCUGCUGCCAGAAAAUUCUGCAAGUGCAGAUUUUGCAUUGUGUACCUCAGUGAGGUACAGGUGUGUACCUCAGUGAGGUACAGGCCUUUAAAACCUGCAGCAGGGCUGAAAUGUACUUAUGUUGAAUUGAGGGGUUAAGUUGCAAUUUGUCAAGCUUAUCACCUAUUUCCAGCUGAGUGGCAUGUGUCCACGUAAUUGGACCCAACUCCUCUUCACUGGUUCUCAUCUUUAUCCCCUUCCUUAUCUCUUUACAAGCUUAGGGGAAUUGGUGGAGAGGGUGACAGCUUGGGUGUUUGAGGUUGUGACGAGUAGGGAAACCAGCAGAGGAGAAGUUAUAAUCAGAGGUAAGAGAUGGUUUCCAAUUAAUAAUCAAGUUAAAUGCACUAAGAGAGGUUCUCUAAGGUAAUUAAACUUGGUGUUAUGCUGUAGAUUAAUUGGAAGCUAUACAAGAGAAGGAAGUUGUUAAAGUGCUACCUUGGUAGAAAGGCUGCCAAGGAAGCUAAUGAAGCAGAAUUUAAGAUGUUGGAGCUGCCGAAUUGGAGCUGCCGCUGAGGAAGCUUUAGAACAAAAUUUUAAGUUGUUGGAAUUGAAAGUAACCAGAGGGAUUAUCAAAUUAAGGUAAAGUGUACUCGAUAAUUAAUUACAGUUCAUGUAAUUUCAUUAAAGAGGAGUUACAACAUUGAGGUUUGCUGCUGAAAUUGGCAGAUUUAGUGUGUAGGGCUUGUUGAAGCUGCCGAAGUGAGAAAUUCAACCUGGGAAGCUUUGAACCUGAGGUAAUUAAUGACUUCUCAGCGAGGGUCUAGUUUAAUUACUCCUUAAGAGAGAGUUCUAGAUAAAGUAAGCAUGUAAAGAAGCUUAAAGGAGCCUUUAAUUGGUUCAAGUGAAUAUAUGUAUGCAGGAAAUUUUCGAAUUGAGGGAAGCAAUGGUGCAGAAUUCCAGCAUGGUGCAGAUUUUGAGGUUGAGCUGAAAUUGUUGCCUUAUUAGAGCUUCUUUGGUGUCCAAACUAAAAGAGGACCAAGUGGAACUUCAAGCUCAGGUGAGAUUAAUGUAAGUUCCUGGGCUAAUGGGUGUUAAUUGUACUCUAUGCUGUAAUGACUACAAAGAGAGUAGUCAUGAGGCAGAUUUCAGCAUUGAAUUCUGUUUACUAUUGAAGCUGAUUUCUAAGUAAUUGAAGCUAAAAAAAAUGAAACUCUAGGAUGCUGGGAGCAACUUAGAAAGCUUCUAAUUCAGGUAAGAAUAGAAAUUAUCCCUGAUUUGAGUAGUGGAAUGUUAUAAAGAUAAUUUCUAAGUGAGUUGUGAAGCACAAUUUUUGAAAUUCAGCCUGAACUGAAUUUCAGCAUGAGAGGUAUUUGUUAUUGAGCUGAGAACUAUGUAAUUGGACAGCAAAUUAAGUCACUUAUAAUUAUGUUAUGAUUAGGAGUUAGAUUAGUUACUCUAGAAGAGUUCUAAGCAUAAGAACUAAUUGUUCUAUGCUUAUAAUAAAUGCUCGAAGAGGAGGUGAAAUGCUGAAAAUUCAGCAUGAAGCAAGAUUUCAGCAUAAUGCUGAAAAUUAACAUUGAGCUGAAACUUUAAGUAUUAUGGCUUCUAUGAGAUUUGCUUUAGUAAAUACUUAUGAGUAGUUGUUAAAAGGUGAAAUUGAACUAAGACCAUGAUAACUUUAUCUUAAAGUUGAUAAGAAGUUUGAGAGUGAGAUUAUACUGAUGUACAUGUGGAAAGUAUAUCUAUAUGUAUAUAAGUGCUUAGAAGUUGAAAUGCAAGUUUUGUUGAAAAUGAAUAUGACGUCGGUUUAAUCUCUCCUAUACUUAUUUGAAUGAAAGUUAAACUUGCUCGAAAGUCAAAAUUGAUAUUCCGACAGGUCGGCGACGCAUUAAUUACGGUAGAAGCCAAUUCGUCUCUAAUUGCAUCGAGUCGCGUGAUAUUGUUCUUGAUACACUUCAAGACGUGAGCUCUUAGUUGUUGACACCACUACAGGUGGGUGGUGCUAUCCGAAGUCUUUGAAUCACCUUUUAUGUCUAUGAUAAUUCAUUGAGCAUAUUUAUAUUUGUUGUCAUGCAUUAUAGGGUAUUGGCAUUGUGCAAGUGAAAGUAUGUAUUCCUAUCAAUAGUGAGAACAUGUGAACAUUAGAAUGUGAAUAUAGAACCCUAUGAAUGUAUGGACUAUAGCAAUAGUAAACUUGGUGACAUUCAACUAGAGAUUUGGUUAGCAUCGAGAAAUGGAAUUGUGAAACUAGCAUAAAGAACUAGUUAGAGUAAAGUGUAACAGUGUUUGUCAGUUGAAUCCUCUAAAAGGGGAUCAGAUCAUACUCACAUUUGUUUAGUUCAAGUGAGGUCGCUCCUCCUUGAACGAUGAGCUCCGGAGUAGUCAUCUUUACUGGACCAGGAGGUGCGUCUCCCCCAGUUGACGGUCCCAUCGGGUGCAGGUGCGUCUCCCCGAUAUUUGGGAUAGCGUCAGUGAGUAAUUGUUAACCAGAGGGUUAACCAAAAUGAAUUGGAUAAACUCAGUAAAAGCAUGCAUGCAUAUUUACAGUUUUUCUAUAUUGCUUUCUUUCAGCUUUGUACAGGUAUUGUAGUAGUUACAUAUUAUAGUUGGUUACUAUCUCAGUUUACUUUUCUUGCCUACAUAUGCCUGGAUAGACCUAGUGGGUGAGUCGGCGAGGUCGGCGGCCGAACCCACUGGGAACUUUUAGUAGUUCUCACACUACUAACCAUACAG